GCCUAAAGCCAUGCCACCCUGAACGUGCCUGAUCCCGCCUGAUCUCAGAAGCUAAGCAGGGUCGGGCCUGGUUAGUACUUGGAUGGGAGACCACCUAAGAAGACCAGGUGCUAUAGGCA
rnacentral:rRNA from 1 species